rnacentral:rRNA from 1 species
CGAGAAAGUGGUAGCAAUACCAUGAGUAAAGUGGCGCACGGGUGAGUAACACGUGACUAACCUACCCUGGAGUGGGGGAUAACUGAGGGAAACCUUAGCUAAUACCGCAUAAUACCUACGGGUCAAAGGAGCAAUUCGCUUUGGGAGGGGGUCGCGGCCGAUUAGUUAGUUGGCGGGGUAACGGCCCACCAAGACGAUGAUCGGUAUCCGGCCUGAGAGGGCGCACGGACACACUGGAACUGAAACACGGUCCAGACUCCUACGGGAGGCAGCAGUGGGGAAUUUUGCGCAAUGGGGGAAACCCUGACGCAGCAACGCCGCGUGGAGGAUGAAGUCCUUCGGGACGUAAACUCCUUUCGAUCGGGACGAUUAUGAC